GCUUUGGCUAGGAGGGGGUCUAUCGCCCUGGUUGGAGUGCAGCAGUGUAAUCAUAGCUCACUGCUGCCAUGAACUUCUGGGCUCAAGCGAUCCUCCCACCUCAGCCUCCCUGUGUGCUGGGAUUAAAAGUGUGAGCCACCGUGCCUCAUCGUAAGGGUCUUAAAAGAAACCCUAUUUCAUACUUUCUUGAUGCACUUGAUAUGGAUUAUAUAAAUCUAUGGACAAAAAUGACAUCAGUACAAUGGAAUAUUGGAGUUUUCUACCAUAAUCUCUGCAUAGUGCACUGAUUUUGACAAUCACCUAUGGAUGAAAAUACAUUUGCCAGAGUCUAGGAGUUAAAUGGAAAAGUUAACAGCACACCGUUGGAGAAAAAUAUCUGGGAGUAGAUGCAUUCAAGGGAGUAAGAAGAACAAUUACCUGCAUCACCUCACCCCCAGGGUCCACUUCUUAGUGCCAAGAUAGACUCCCUUCAGCAGGCAAUUUCUCCCAUGGGGAAAAGGAGAGUAUAAUGACCAAUUGGAUGGUGCUUUUUCCAGACCCACAAAUGGCUGCCCAUGGACCAAGCAGUAUGUACUUCCUCCAUUCUGAGCCCAUGAAAACCCCAGACUCAGUCAGACUCUGACACUCAUCAGGAUGACAAGCCUGCAAAUAGGAUCUACCCAUUUUGGGUAUGCACUCCACUGAGAGCUAUUCUGUCACUCAAUAAAGCUCCUUUCUGCCUUGCUCACCCUCCAGUUAUUCACAUAACCUCAUUCUUCCUGGAUGUGGGACAAGAACUCAGGACCUGCUGAAUGGUGGGAGGGAAAGAAGCUGUAACAUGUUCCUGGCCAGCUCACCAAGCUGCAGGUGGUGACAUACUCCUGGACUAUGGGAGUG
rnacentral:lncRNA from 1 species